GAUCAUGGCUCAGAACGAACGCUGGCGGCAUGCCUAACACAUGCAAGUCGAACGAGACCUUCGGGUCUAGUGGCGCACGGGUGCGUAACGCGUGGGAAUCUGCCCUUUGCUUCGGAAUAACAGUUAGAAAUGACUGCUAAUACCGGAUGAUGUCUUCGGACCAAAGAUUUAUCGGCAAAGGAUGAGCCCGCGUAGGAUUAGGUAGUUGGUGGGGUAAAGGCCUACCAAGCCGACGAUCCUUAGCUGGUCUGAGAGGAUGAUCAGCCACACUGGGACUGAGACACGGCCCAGACUCCUACGGGAGGCAGCAGUGGGGAAUAUUGGACAAUGGGCGAAAGCCUGAUCCAGCAAUGCCGCGUGAGUGAUGAAGGCCUUCGGGUCGUAAAGCUCUUUUACCAGGGAUGAUAAUGACAGUACCUGGAGAAUAAGCUCCGGCUAACUCCGUG
rnacentral:rRNA from 1 species